AAGGUUAAGCCUCACGGUUCAUUAGUACCGGUUAGCUCAACGCAUCGCUGCGCUUACACACCCGGCCUAUCAACGUCGUCGUCUUCAACGUUCCUUCAGGAGACUUAUAGUCUCAGGGAGAACUCAUCUCGGGGCAAGUUUCGUGCUUAGAUGCUUUCAGCACUUAUCUCUUCCGCAUUUAGCUACCGGGCAGUGCCAUUGGCAUGACAACCCGAACACCAGUGAUGCGUCCACUCCGGUCCUCUCGUACUAGGAGCAGCCCCCCUCAGUUCUCCAGCGCCCACGGCAGAUAGGGACCGAACUGUCUCACGACGUUCUAAACCCAGCUCGCGUACCACUUUAAAUGGCGAACAGCCAUACCCUUGGGACCUACUUCAGCCCCAGGAUGUGAUGAGCCGACAUCGAGGUGCCAAACACCGCCGUCGAUAUGAACUCUUGGGCGGUAUCAGCCUGUUAUCCCCGGAGUACCUUUUAUCCGUUGAGCGAUGGCCCUUCCAUUCAGAACCACCGGAUCACUAUGACCUGCUUUCGCACCUGCUCGCGCCGUCACGCUCGCAGUCAAGCUGGCUUAUGCCAUUGCACUAACCUCCUGAUGUCCGACCAGGAUUAGCCAACCUUCGUGCUCCUCCGUUACUCUUUAGGAGGAGACCGCCCCAGUCAAACUACCCACCAGACACUGUCCGCAACCCGGAUCACGGGUCCACGUUAGAACAUCAAACAUUAAAGGGUGGUAUUUCAAGGUCGGCUCCAUGCAGACUGGCGUCCACACUUCAAAGCCUCCCACCUAUCCUACACAUCAAGGCUCAAUGUUCAGUGUCAAGCUAUAGUAAAGGUUCACGGGGUCUUUCCGUCUUGCCGCGGGUACACUGCAUCUUCACAGCGAGUUCAAUUUCACUGAGUCUCGGGUGGAGACAGCCUGGCCAUCAUUACGCCAUUCGUGCAGGUCGGAACUUACCCGACAAGGAAUUUCGCUACCUUAGGACCGUUAUAGUUACGGCCGCCGUUUACCGGGGCUUCGAUCAAGAGCUUCGCUUGCGCUGACCCCAUCAAUUAACCUUCCGGCACCGGGCAGGCGUCACACCGUAUACGUCCACUUUCGUGUUUGCACAGUGCUGUGUUUUUAAUAAACAGUUGCAGCCAGCUGGUAUCUUCGACUGAUUUCAGCUCCAUCCGCGAGGGACUUCACCUACAUAUCAGCGUGCCUUCUCCCGAAGUUACGGCACCAUUUUGCCUAGUUCCUUCACCCGAGUUCUCUCAAGCGCCUUGGUAUUCUCUACCUGACCACCUGUGUCGGUUUGGGGUACGAUUUGAUGUUACCUGAUGCUUAGAGGCUUUUCCUGGAAGCAGGGCAUUUGUUGCUUCAGCACCGUAGUGCCUCGUCAUCACGCCUCAGCCUUGAUUUUCCGGAUUUGCCUGGAAAACCAGCCUACACGCUUAAACCGGGACAACCGUCGCCCGGCCAACAUAGCCUUCUCCGUCCCCCCUUCGCAGUAACACCAAGUACAGGAAUAUUAACCUGUUUCCCAUCGACUACGCCUUUCGGCCUCGCCUUAGGGGUCGACUCACCCUGCCCCGAUUAACGUUGGACAGGAACCCUUGGUCUUCCGGCGAGCGGGCUUUUCACCCGCUUUAUCGUUACUUAUGUCAGCAUUCGCACUUCUGAUACCUCCAGCAUACCUCACAGUACACCUUCACAGGCUUACAGAACGCUCCCCUACCCAACAACACACAGUGUCGCUGCCGCAGCUUCGGUGCAUGGUUUAGCCCCGUUACAUCUUCCGCGCAGGCCGACUCGACCAGUGAGCUAUUACGCUUUCUUUAAAUGAUGGCUGCUUCUAAGCCAACAUCCUGGCUGUCUGGGCCUUCCCACAUCGUUUCCCACUUAACCAUGACUUUGGGACCUUAGCUGGCGGUCUGGGUUGUUUCCCUCUUCACGACGGACGUUAGCACCCGCCGUGUGUCUCCCGUGAUAACAUUCUCCGGUAUUCGCAGUUUGCAUCGGGUUGGUAAGUCGGGAUGACCCCCUUGCCGAAACAGUGCUCUACCCCCGGAGAUGAAUUCACGAGGCGCUACCUAAAUAGCUUUCGGGGAGAACCAGCUAUCUCCCGGUUUGAUUGGCCUUUCACCCCCAGCCACAAGUCAUCCGCUAAUUUUUCAACAUUAGUCGGUUCGGUCCUCCAGUUAGUGUUACCCAACCUUCAACCUGCCCAUGGCUAGAUCACCGGGUUUCGGGUCUAUACCCUGCAACUUAACGCCCAGUUAAGACUCGGUUUCCCUUCGGCUCCCCUAUUCGGUUAACCUUGCUACAGAAUAUAAGUCGCUGACCCAUUAUACAAAAGGUACGCAGUCACCCCAUAAAAGAGGCUCCCACUGCUUGUACGUACACGGUUUCAGGUUCUUUUUCACUCCCCUCGCCGGGGUUCUUUUCGCCUUUCCCUCACGGUACUGGUUCACUAUCGGUCAGUCAGGAGUAUU
rnacentral:rRNA from 1 species